AUUGAACGCUGGCGGAAUGCUUUACACAUGCAAGUCGAACGGCAGCACGGGGGCAACCCUGGUGGCGAGUGGCGAACGGGUGAGUAAUACAUCGGAACGUGCCCGGUCGUGGGGGAUAACGUAGCGAAAGUUACGCUAAUACCGCAUACGAUCUGAGGAUGAAAGCGGGGGACCUUCGGGCCUCGCGCGAUCGGAGCGGCCGAUGUCAGAUUAGGUAGUUGGUGGGGUAAAGGCCUACCAAGCCGACGAUCUGUAGCUAGUCUGAGAGGACGACCAGCCACACUGGGACUGAGACACGGCCCAGACUCCUACGGGAGGCAGCAGUGGGGAAUUUUGGACAAUGGGCGCAAGCCUGAUCCAGCCAUUCCGCGUGCAGGACGAAGGCCUUCGGGUUGUAAACUGCUUUUGUAUGGAACGAAAAGGCUCUGGCUAAUACCUGGGGCUCAUGACGGUACCGUAAGAAUAAGCACCGGCUAACUACGUG
rnacentral:rRNA from 1 species